AAUGUUAUAGUGAGUUGAGAUCGAAAACUUUUUAAAUAAGAGUAAAAGUUAUCAUAUUUGGGUUAGAUUAUUUCAUGUGAAUGAUAUUUGUACACACAAAUUCAUUCAAAUUGAAUGAUGGAGUUCUCAUUGACUUCUUAAUAAAUUCUUCAGUUGAAAUUGAAUUAUGCAUGAAGAUAUGGAAGGUAGUGGAAGAAUUAUAUCAAAUAAAUGUAUGAAUCGUGAGCAAUGAUAGGAGAAUGGUGCUAGGAAGAAGGUUAGACCAACCCUCUAGCAAUUUCCCUAGGUUUCUCAACUGUGAGAGUGAGAGCAAGAGAUAAGAAAACUAAGAGAGAGUAAGAGGUAGAGACCUGCGCUGGCUUCGGUCAUUGAUUUCGGCUCAAACAGUCUUUCCGGUGGUUUAUGCUGUGGCUUCUGCCCUCGUGAGUUGUGUUCCCUUAAUUUACAGUCAUAGAAAGUGAUACAUGGAGAGAACCAGGGGCAGAGAGAACCAAGGCCAGAAGGGCAGAGCAAACUCUAGAAAGUGGCAUGG
rnacentral:lncRNA from 1 species